rnacentral:lncRNA from 1 species
GUCUCUACUAAUAAUACAAAAAUUAGGCGGGCGUGGUGGUGGGUGCUGGUAAUCCCAACUACUUGGGAGGCUGAGGCAGGAGAAUUGCUUGAACCCGGGAGGCGGAGCUUGCAGUGAGCCGAGACAGCGCCAUUGCACUCCAGCCUGGGCGACAGGGCAAGACUCUGUCUCAAAAAAACAAACAAACACACACCUCCCUUUUCUCCCCGUUCAAUUGCAUCUCUUUACUGGGUCAUGAGAAAUAGCCCAAUCCUCAGCGUGGUCCGGGAACACAGGUGACCCUCUGUCCCAUCUGGUUUGACCAGGUGAAGGGCUGUCUGGGGUUUGGGGGUCUGGAGUACCCCUUUGGGACACAGCUUUGAAGAUGGAGUCCCCAGUGCCUAACUCUGAGCCUCCUCCACCAGGGUGGCCCGUGAAUCUCACAGGUGCACAAUACUGAGCCCCCUUGCCUGUAUGCUCCUCCUCCCCCUCUCCCCGUUCACCUCUCCAGGCGAAUCUCCCCUUCUGGGUCCCCCAGUCACACUCCUGAAUGCCCGACCUUGAGUAUCCACCAUGGCAGCCCCAGCCAUCCCCUGCAGAUGCCCACCCCUGGGCCCCCGGGGCUGGCCUGCAGCCCAGCCGCAUAUCUUGGCCCCGCUUGAUGCACACCCACUCUGUUCCCUGACGCUGUGCGCUCAUCUCUAACCUGCUCCAAGAGAACCAGCAGGGCCCCAUGGGAAGAGGCUCCCUGCAUGUUCAGCUGUCUGUCAGCAGCGGCCCCUCACCAAGCAGUGGUUCAGCUUCCCCACCGUGGAUUGCUUGACUUGUGCCCAGCCCUGCUAACGGGUGGGGGGUUCCUCCAGGGUCUGGCAACCUGGCCCCCUGGGAAAGCCCUGGAAGAUGUCCAUCCCCUCUUUCCUCCCUUGCCCUGCCCACCACUCCCAGACCUGGCCCAGCCUCAGGCAGAUGGGAUGGGAACCAGGAUCCCUGGGAGACUCCCAGGCCCCCUGGACCUACGAACAAUGGCAGCUGAGCUCCGGCCACCCCAUCCCCACCCUGGCCCCACCUCUGCCCUGGUAUAAGCCCGCCUGGCCUGCAGCACCUGCAGCCACCACGGGGAUGCUGUGGCUUCUGCUGGUGGUCCUACAGAAACAAGUGACUUGGAGCAAGGAGAUCAGAGCCUCGCUCCUGUACCCCUAUGGGCUGGAGCAUGGGGAUCAGGUUCUCCCUGCAGAGGACGAUGACUUCUCCGAGAAGCUGCGGCUGCUGGAUCCCUUCAUGCUCUUCGAGGCCACACACAGGACGGCCUAUGUGAGUGCACUGGCCCUGACCGUGCGGUCCCUGGGCUCGCUCUCUUCUCCCCACCUCACUCUUAACUCAGAGCCUGUCUAUAUCUAUAGCUCCUGGCUCCUUCUGGCUUCAUCCUCUGUCUUGCUGGGGAGGGCCCUGUCCCUCUUCGGCCCCCUGCCCUGCCAACAUCCCCCUGCAGGUCUUGUCCUUCCUCAUUUCCCCCAGUUCUGCACCAAGGGGCUGGUGUCCUUUGGGGAGCCUGUGGCGCUGUUCACACUGGAGGCGUUUCCCCGGGAGACGGGCCAGGACUUCGCAGUCCCGUUCUGGGCCGAUGGGUCCAGAGCUGCUGCAGCAGGCGGCCCGAGACCUGGCCUCGGCCUUGCCCCACUCCCCACCCACCUCUUGCGCCCUGCUGGUGGCCACGUGGGACCAAAUUCCCUUUUACGGGGCACUUGGUCCCCAGGUGAGGAAGCGGGUAGCAGAGAAGGGCCCAGGCUGAGGCUGUUUGACCCAACCUCUGGGGAAGAAGGGCUUGGAUUCCUAGGCAAGAAGGAGACACCACGAAGGAGAGACGGAGAUGGGGGAACGAGAGAGAGAUAG